rnacentral:rRNA from 1 species
GACGAACGCUGGCGGCGUGCUUAACACAUGCAAGUCGAACGGAAAGGCCCUGCUUGCAGGGUACUCGAGUGGCGAACGGGUGAGUAACACGUGGGUGAUCUGCCCUGCACUUCGGGAUAAGCUUGGGAAACUGGGUCUAAUACCGGAUAGGAGCCAUCUUUAGUGUGGUGGUUGGAAAGUUUUUUCGGUGUAGGAUGAGCUCGCGGCCUAUCAGCUUGUUGGUGGGGUAAUGGCCUACCAAGGCGGCGACGGGUAGCCGGCCUGAGAGGGUGUACGGCCACAUUGGGACUGAGAUACGGCCCAGACUCCUACGGGAGGCAGCAGUGGGGAAUAUUGCACAACGGGCGCAAGCCUGAUGCAGCGACGCCGCGUGGGGGAUGAAGGCCUUCGGGUUGUAAACUCCUUUCGCUAGGGACGAAGCUUUUUUGUGACGGUACCUAGAUAAGAAGCACCGGCUAACUACGUG